rnacentral:rRNA from 1 species
UUAAGCGACUAAGCGUACACGGUGGAUGCCCUGGCAGUCAGAGGCGAUGAAGGACGUGCUAAUCUGCGAAAAGCGCCGGCGAGGUGAUAUGAACCUUUGACCCGGCGAUGUCCGAAUGGGGAAACCCAGUGCAAUCCGUUGCACUAUCGUUAACUGAAUACAUAGGUUAACGAGGCGAACCGGGGGAACUGAAACAUCUAAGUACCCCGAGGAAAAGAAAUCAACCGAGAUUCCCCCAGUAGCGGCGAGCGAACGGGGAGCAGCCCGGAGUCUGAAUCAGCUUGUGUGUUAGUGGAACGGUCUGGAAAGUCCGACGGUACAGGGUGAUAGUCCCGUACACGAAAGCACACAUGCUGUGAACUCGAAGAGUAGGGCGGGACACGUGGUAUCCUGUCUGAAUAUGGGGGGACCAUCCUCCAAGGCUAAAUACUCCUGACUGACCGAUAGUGAACCAGUACCGUGAGGGAAAGGCGAAAAGAACCCCGGCGAGGGGAGUGAAAAAGAACCUGAAACCGUGUACGUACAAGCAGUGGGAGCCUCUUUAUGGGGUGACUGCGUACCUUUUGUAUAAUGGGUCAGCGACUUAUAUUCUGUAGCAAGGUUAACCGUAUAGGGGAGCCGAAGGGAAACCGAGUCUUAACUGGGCGUUAAGUUGCAGGGUAUAGACCCGAAACCCGGUGAUCUAGCCAUGGGCAGGUUGAAGGUUGGGUAACACUAACUGGAGGACCGAACCGACUAAUGUUGAAAAAUUAGCGGAUGACCUGUGGCUGGGGGUGAAAGGCCAAUCAAACCGGGAGAUAGCUGGUUCUCCCCGAAAGCUAUUUAGGUAGCGCCUCGUGAACUCAUCUUCGGGGGUAGAGCACUGUUUCGGCUAGGGGGCCAUCCCGGCUUACCAACCCGAUGCAAACUACGAAUACCGAAGAAUGUUAUCACGGGAGACACACGGCGGGUGCUAACGUCCGUCGUGAAGAGGGAAACAACCCAGACCGCCAGCUAAGGUCCCAAAGUCAUGGUUAAGUGGGAAACGAUGUGGGAAGGCACAGACAGCCAGGAUGUUGGCUUAGAAGCAGCCAUCAUUUAAAGAAAGCGUAAUAGCUCACUGGUCGAGUCGGCCUGCGCGGAAGAUGUAACGGGGCUAAACCAUGCACCGAAGCUGCGGCAGCGACACUAUGUGUUGUUGGGUAGGGGAGCGUUCUGUAAGCCGUUGAAGGUGUCCUGUGAGGGGUGCUGGAGGUAUCAGAAGUGCGAAUGCUGACAUAAGUAACGAUAAAGCGGGUGAAAAGCCCGCUCGCCGGAAGACCAAGGGUUCCUGUCCAACGUUAAUCGGGGCAGGGUGAGUCGACCCCUAAGGCGAGGCCGAAAGGCGUAGUCGAUGGGAAACAGGUUAAUAUUCCUGUACUUGGUGUUACUGCGAAGGGGGGACGGAGAAGGCUAUGUCAGCCGGGCGACGGUUGUCCCGGUUUAAGCAUGUAGGCGGAGGUUCCAGGUAAAUCCGGUACCUUAUUAACGCUGAGGUGUGAUGACGAGGCACUACGGUGCUGAAGUGAUAAAUGCCCUGCUUCCAGGAAAAGCCUCUAAGCAUCAGGUAACACGAAAUCGUACCCCAAACCGACACAGGUGGUCAGGUAGAGAAUACCAAGGCGCUUGAGAGAACUCGGGUGAAGGAACUAGGCAAAAUGGUGCCGUAACUUCGGGAGAAGGCACGCUGAUAUGUAGGUGAAGUCCCUGCGGACGGAGCUGAAAUCAGUCGAAGAUACCAGCUGGCUGCAACUGUUUAUUAAAAACACAGCACUGUGCAAACACGAAAGUGGACGUAUACGGUGUGACGCCUGCCCGGUGCCGGAAGGUUAAUUGAUGGGGUUAGCGGCAACGCGAAGCUCUUGAUCGAAGCCCCGGUAAACGGCGGCCGUAACUAUAACGGUCCUAAGGUAGCGAAAUUCCUUGUCGGGUAAGUUCCGACCUGCACGAAUGGCGUAAUGAUGGCCAGGCUGUCUCCACCCGAGACUCAGUGAAAUUGAACUCGCUGUGAAGAUGCAGUGUACCCGCGGCAAGACGGAAAGACCCCGUGAACCUUUACUAUAGCUUGACACUGAACACUGGUCCUUGAUGUGUAGGAUAGGUGGGAGGCUUUGAAGCGUGGACGCCAGUCUGCGUGGAGCCAACCUUGAAAUACCACCCUUUAAUGGCUGGUGUUCUAACGUAGACCCGUAAUCCGGGUUGCGGACAGUGUCUGGUGGGUAGUUUGACUGGGGCGGUCUCCUCCCAAAGAGUAACGGAGGAGCACGAAGGUUGGCUAAUCCUGGUCGGACAUCAGGAGGUUAGUGCAAUGGCAUAAGCCAGCUUGACUGCGAGCGUGACGGCGCGAGCAGGUGCGAAAGCAGGUCAUAGUGAUCCGGUGGUUCUGAAUGGAAGGGCCAUCGCUCAACGGAUAAAAGGUACUCCGGGGAUAACAGGCUGAUACCGCCCAAGAGUUCAUAUCGACGGCGGUGUUUGGCACCUCGAUGUCGGCUCAUCACAUCCUGGGGCUGAAGUAGGUCCCAAGGGUAUGGCUGUUCGCCAUUUAAAGUGGUACGCGAGCUGGGUUUAGAACGUCGUGAGACAGUUCGGUCCCUAUCUGCCGUGGGCGCUGGAGAAUUGAGGGGGGCUGCUCCUAGUACGAGAGGACCGGAGUGGACGCAUCACUGGUGUUCGGGUUGUCAUGCCAAUGGCACUGCCCGGUAGCUAAAUGCGGAAGAGAUAAGUGCUGAAAGCAUCUAAGCACGAAACUUGCCCCGAGAUGAGUUCUCCCUGAGACUUUAAGUCUCCUGAAGGAACGUUGAAGACUACGACGUUGAUAGGUCGGGUGUGUAAGCGCAGCGAUGCGUUGAGCUAACCGAUACUAAUGAACCGUGAGGCUUAACCUU